GAGGUGGAGUCCAGAGGCAAGCCCCGCCUAGGCCACGGGCGGAAAUGGCUCCUCGCCUUGCUUUGCCGCCCCUCCUCACUUUCGCCCAAUCCUCGCGGCCGUCAGAGAGCCAACCAAUGUUUGUCUCGGCAUUUUCCCGCGAGAAGUGUUACUAAUAUCCGGGAAUGGAAAGGGGAGAACUUCCGGGUGAGGCGUAAUUGUAUCCAAGCUUGAGGCGUUUUGCUGGAAGAGCACUGCUGGGGUCAGGAUUCUGCGCGGCGAGGCAAGAUGCUCAAGUCCAAGACGUUCUUAAAAAAGACCCGGGCAGGCGGCGUGAUGAAGAUUGUGCGCGAGCACUACUUGCGAGACGACAUCGGCUGCGGUGCGCCCGGGUGCGCAACGUGUGGCGGGGCGCACGAGGGGCCGGCCCUGGAGCCGCAGCCCCAGGACCCGGCGAGCAGCCUCUGCCCGCAACCGCACUACUUGCUGCCCGACACUAAUGUGUUACUGCACCAGAUUGUAAGUGCCUGGAGGCCGGGGACCUGGGCUUCUGUGGCCUCCAGCCUGCGACUCCCAGGCAGCUUAUUGAUGUUCUUGAGGACCCUGCCAUCAGGAAUGUAAUUGUGCUACAAACAGUUCUUCAAGAAGUGAGAAAUCGCAGUGCCCCCGUAUAUAAACGCAUCCGAGAUGUGACUAAUAACCAAGAGAAGCAUUUCUAUACUUUCACUAAUGAGCACCAUAG
rnacentral:sRNA from 1 species